CUGCUGCCUCCCGUAGGAGUUUGGGCCGUGUCUCAGUCCCAAUGUGGCCGGUCACCCUCUCAGGUCGGCUACUGAUCGUCGCCUUGGUGGGCCGUUACCCCGCCAACUAGCUAAUCAGACGCGGGCCCAUCCCAUACCACCGGAGUUUUUACCGCUGUGCCAUGCGGCACCGCGGUCUUAUGCGGUAUUAGCAGUCAUUUCUAACUGUUAUCCCCCGUAUGGGGCAGGUUGCCCACGCGUUACUCACCCGUCCGCCG
rnacentral:rRNA from 1 species